AAUAAGUUUAUUUUUCAGUUUUUAGAUAUAAUAUUUUGACUCUUCAUCUUAUUUAAAUUUUUUUGCGAUUAAUAUGUUUAUGGUUACUAGAUGAUAACACAUGGAUAGUACUUUAUGCGUGACUAAUUUUUUUAAGAUUUUGUAAAAAUUUUUAAAUAACACGAAUAGUCAAACUUUGGACACAGAAAUCGAAACAUAAAAUUAUU
rnacentral:pre_miRNA from 1 species